CCUACGGGAGGCAGCAGUGGGGAAUCUUGCGCAAUGGGCGAAAGCCUGACGCAGCAACGCCGCGUGCGGGAAGAAGGCUUUCGGGCUGUAAACCGCUUUCAGCAGGAACGAAAAUGACGGUACCUGCAGAAGAAGGAGCGGCCAACUAUGUGCCAGCAGCCGCGGUGAUACAUAGGCUUCAAGCGUUGUCCGGAUUUAUUGGGCGUAAAGAGUUCGUAGGCGGUCGAGUAAGUCGGGUGUGAAAAUUCUGGGCUCAACCCAGAGACGCCACCCGAUACUGCUUGACUUGAGUUCGAUAGGGGAGUGGGGAAUUCCUAGUGUAGCGGUGAAAUGCGCAGAUAUUAGGAGGAACACCGGUGGCGAAGGCGCCACUCUGGAUCGAUACUGACGCUGAGGAACGAAAGCAUGGGUAGCAAACAGGAUUAGAUACCCUGGUAGUCCAUGCCGUAAACGGUGGGCACUAGGUGUGGGUUUCUAUUAACGAAAUCCGCGCCGUCGCUAACGCAUUAAGUGCCCCGCCUGGGGGAGGUACGGUCGCGAGACUAAACUACAANAGAUAGACGGCGNGAGACGNGCCGACGGACGACGACGAGGGAGGUAGG
rnacentral:rRNA from 1 species